ACUAGAACCCAGCAGAGGGCUACCCACUUUCAGGCCCUCAUACCCUGUACAGUCCACACCACCAGACCCCAGACCGGCUCCUUUACACCCAGCACCUUCUCCAGCACCCACAAGGCGUCCUCCCUUUGUAUGCCACAAUUGCCCGUGCAUAUGAAGAACAACUACCCUAAACGGAACAGAGGAGGUUGGGAAAGACCAGCCGCCCAUUGUUUCCACCAGGAGGCCUCCAGUUAUACAGACCUUAGCGAGGAGCAGUGGACGACUCUACACAAGGCAAAUCCAGUCCAGGCUGCAGGCGACAACAGAGAGCAUCAUUGCCACUGGGUCACCAUUAACAGAAUGGACGCACAGGGCCUGAGAGACACAGGCACCUCCCUCACUUUGAUACACCCACAAGACAG